GAUGAACGCUAGCGGCAGGCCUAACCCAUGCAAGUCGAGGGGCAGCACAUAAAGUGGUUUACUACUUUUGGUGGCGACCGGCGGACGGGUGCGUAACGCGUAUGCAACCUGCCUCCAACAGGGGGAUAACGGGGAGAAAUUUCCACUAAUACCCCAUAAUAUCGGAAUCGGCAUCGGUUUUGGUUGAAAACUCCGGUGGUUGGAGAUGGGCAUGCGUUGUAUUAGAUAGUUGGUGAGGUAACGGCUCACCAAGUCAACGAUACAUAGGGGGACUGAGAGGUUAGCCCCCCCACACUGGUACUGAGACACGGACCAGACUCCUACGGGAGGCAGCAGUGAGGAAUAUUGGUCAAUGGGGGCAACCCUGAACCAGCCAUGCCGCGUGCAGGAAGACGGCUCUAUGAGUUGUAAACUGCUUUUACAAGGGGAUAAAUCGGUGUACGUGUACACCGUUGAAGGUACCUUGGGAAUAAGGAUCGGCUAACUCCGUGCCAGCCGCCGCCGUAA
rnacentral:rRNA from 1 species